CCUUGCACGUUCUUUCUCUUCUCUGACAGGGCAGUCUGGCUACUUCACUACUCGAUAAUUUCGUUUUUUUCGAGUUUCUGACAUUUUGUGCUGAAAAUGUUAGUUAUAUAAAGGAUUGGAUUACGGAACGAACCGUGAUCCUUUAACUACUCUUUAAUAGCCUUGAGAUUGAUCUUAUUUGUGAUCAAGUUCACGAAUUGGUCUUAUAUUGUCCAUUUGGAAUUGUUCACCAAAGGAACAAAGAUUGGAAGCCUGGUCCAUGUCGCAAGACAGAUGCUGUAAGAAUUGCCGCAACAAAAAGUAUGGUUUACUUCCUCAUGACUAUGAACCAUAUCCUUGAUGAUGGACUCAGAAGACUGCACAGUUGUUGUGUAUUGUAAAGCUUCUUUCAAAGGCUUCCACCGACUUAUACCGAAGAAGCCAACGGAGACGUGAUGUUGCAAAUGGUUCGUAAUGCUCAAAAGACCAAUUUGAUUUGUUAGCGUAAUUAAAUUGCUUAUUAUUGGGAAAGAAUAUAGCAAAAAAAUGUAUACUUUUGUGGGGAUAAAAAGAGUGGCGUCCAUUCUAUUUAAUGUUGAUCUCGUAAAAUGAAUUAACCACAUCACAAACAAUUUCUUGACUCAACGUGUUAUAUCGUUGUGUCACCAUUUAUAUUUAUAUUUCAGUAGCCCGUGUUUGUAAUAAGGAGUAAAUUUCAAAUCAUGUGCCUUAACUCAUGAUCGUCAUUCCGAAUUGCUUAAUAAUGCACAGAUAAUUCCUUCAACGAAAGACUUUGCACAUUUUCACAAACGAUAUCAUCUGUGAUUAUCCCUAAGGUAAAGGGCUGUAUAAAGCAAUAAUAGCAAUAGGUGAAUAGGA